rnacentral:rRNA from 1 species
GGCCUGGUUGGGUGGUCUUGCCGCAAGGUAAGCACUGCUCCGAUCGGGUCUUUCCUUCUGGGGAACCAGCGUGCUCUUAACUGGGUGCGCUGGGGAUCCAGGACUUUUACUUUGAAAAAAUUAGAGUGUUUAAAACAGGCGUUUGCUUGAAUACAUUAGCAUGGAAUAACGGAAUAGGAC